rnacentral:rRNA from 1 species
GACGAACGCUGGCGGUGUGCUUAACACAUGCAAGUCGAACGGAGAUUCCCUGCUUGCAGGGUACUCGAGUGGCGAACGGGUGAGUAACACGUGGGUGAUCUGCCCUGCACUUCGGGAUAAGCCUGGGAAACUUGGUCUAAUACCGGAUAGGAGCCAUUAUUAGUGUGAUGGUUGGAAAGUUUUUUCGGUGUAGGCUGAGCUCGCGGCCUAUCAGCUUGUUGGUGGGGUAAUGGCCUACCAAGGCGGCGACUGGUAGCCGGCCUGAGAGCGUGGACGGCCACACUGGGACUGAGAUACGCCCCAGACACCUACGCGAGGCAGCAGUGGGGAAUAUAGCACACUGGGCGCAAGCCUGAUGCAGCGACGCCGCGUGUGGGAUAACGGCCGUCGGGUUGUAAACUACUUUCGCUAGGGACGAAGCUUUUUGUGAAGGUACCUAGAUAAGAAGCACCGGCUACCUACGU